GCGGUUGUGGCGGAAUGGUAGACGCGCCAGCUUGAGGGGCUGGUGGGCUUAGGCCCGUGGGGGUUCGACUCCCCCCAACCGCACCA
rnacentral:tRNA from 1 species